UUUCUGUCUUGCCAUUCGGUUCAAAUUAUCGCGCUUGUGCGGUUGUGCGGAGCGGACGAGUUGGAAUAACCAGCGAGGUUCAAUAUUUUCUGUACGGGCGCAUUGUUUGAGGCUCGUUUAGAGAACUGCAGGCGUUCAAAACACGGAAUCGAAUUCGAAUAACAUAGCCCCCCUCCACAAAACCAAAUCAAUCCAAUUCAAAUCGUUCGCGAGUCGAAAGUGAAAUUCGUCGCAGCACAACGGUAAAUCAAAGCCAGACGCGUUUUUUGUUCAAUGAAUGGAAUAGCCAGCUAACACAAAUCCCGCUAAAAUAAUAAAAUUCAAUUACAAUUUAUUGUAACCGCUUUAAUAAUUAGCAUUGCAAAGCGUCUAUGCUAAAGUGUUUAACAGUUUAACAAAUAACAGAAAUAUCGGUGAUUUUGGUGUGCAAGAAAAUUGAGAAAACCAGAAACCAAAACAGAGAUCCGCUGAUUUAAGACGAAAGAAGUUUCGAAAUCUUUAUGUUUUGUGUGAACAUAUAGUGAGAAACUUAUCAACAAGAAAUUAAGUAAUCUUAGUUGGCACCCAACAAGCAAAACAAAUGCAAAUGUGCGCCCCAAAGACAUAUUACCCCGAAAGUGAUCAAUAAUUGUUUGCCGGAAG